rnacentral:rRNA from 1 species
GACGAACGCUGGCGGCGUGCCUAAUACAUGCAAGUUGAGCGCUGAAGGUUGGUACUUGUACCGACUGGAUGAGCAGCGAACGGGUGAGUAACGCGUGGGGAAUCUGCCUUUGAGCGGGGGACAACAUUUGGAAACGAAUGCUAAUACCGCAUAAAAACUUUAAACACAAGUUUUAAGUUUGAAAGAUGCAAUUGCAUCACUCAAAGAUGAUCCCGCGUUGUAUUAGCUAGUUGGUGAGGUAAAGGCUCACCAAGGCGAUGAUACAUAGCCGACCUGAGAGGGUGAUCGGCCACAUUGGGAUUGAGACACGGCCCAAACUCCUACGGGAGGCAGCAGUAGGGAAUCUUCGGCAAUGGACGAAAGUCUGACCGAGCAACGCCGCGUGAGUGAAGAAGGUUUUCGGAUCGUAAAACUCUGUUGGUAGAGAAGAACGUUGGUGAGAGUGGAAAGCUCAUCAAGUGACGGUAACUACCCAGAAAGGGACGGCUAACUACGUG